CAAGCACGGUGGCAGUCUUCUGAUCUCUGCUGCUUUUUUUUCCUCAUAAAAACAUGAGACAUAGACAAGAAGAGAAGAUGAUAUGAAAAUGGAGGCAAAGAUUGGAGUGAUGUGGCCACAAGCCAAGGAAACCAGCAACCACCAGAAGCUGAAAGAGGCAAAGAAGAAUUCUGCCUCCCAGCCUCCAGAGGGAGUGUGACCCUGCUAACACCAUGAUUCAGACUUCCGGCCUCCAGAAGAAUGUCUUUUUAAGCCACUACGUUUGUGGUAAUUUGUUAUAGCAGCCCUGGGAAACUAAUACAGUUGUUAAUUAAAAAAACAAGUCAAGUGA